UACGGAGGGUGCAAGCGUUAUCCGGAUUUACUGGGUUUAAAGGGUGCGCAGGCGGAUAUGUAAGUCAGUGGUGAAAUCUCCGGGCUUAACCCGGAAACUGCCGUUGAUACUAUAUAUCUUGAAUGCUGUGGAGGUAAGCAGAAUAUGUCAUGUAGCGGUGAGAUGCUUAGAGAUGACAUAGAAUACCUAUUGCGAAGGCAGCUUACUACGCAGAUAUUGACGCUCAUGCACGAAAGCGUGGGGAUCAAACAGG
rnacentral:rRNA from 1 species